AUUUUAAUAUAAUAAUUCUAUGAAUUCACAAUAUAAAAAAAUGCAGAAAAAAAAAAAAUGAAUGAAGUGAAAUAUCUUAGUAAGGAGUCAUUACUACAGAGAUGGUGUGUUUGACACACAAAACUUAAAAGCUUAGUGAUAUUACCAAUAUUAAAAUAAAAGUGUAUUUUAGUUGGGUAUUUUUUCCAUUUACUCAUUUUCAAUUAUAAUCAAGGCACAUUUUAUUUUUAUUCAUGAAAAAUAUUUAUAUAUAGAAAAGAAGGACACAUUGUUCACUUCCUCCCCCGUAAUUCUUUAUCAAAAAUAUUUAUUUUGAAAUGAAAAAAGCUAAGAAAUCUUAAUUUUAUUAGUG
rnacentral:lncRNA from 1 species